rnacentral:rRNA from 1 species
GAUGAACGCUAGCGGCAGGCUUAAUACAUGCAAGUCGAGGGACAGCACAGGUAGCAAUACUGGGUGGUAACCGGCAAACGGGUGCGGAACACGUACACAACCUUCCUUUAAGUGGGGGAUAGCCCAGAGAAAUUUGGAUUAAUACCCCGUAAUAUAGUUGAAUGGCAUCAUUUGAUUAUUAUAGCUACGGCGCUUAAUGAUGGGUGUGCGGCUGAUUAGAUAGUUGGCGGGGUAACGGCCCACCAAGUCUACGAUCAGUAGCUGAUGUGAGAGCAUGAUCAGCCAAACGGGCACUGAGACACGGGCCCGACUCCUACGGGAGGCAGCAGUAAGGAAUAUUGGUCAAUGAACGCAAGUCUGAACCAGCCAUGCCGUGUGGAGGAUUAAGGUCCUCUGGAUUGUAAACUUCUUUUAUUUGGGACGAAAAAGGGCCUUUCUAGGUCAACUGACGGUACCAGAUGAAUAAGCACCGGCUAACUCCGUGCCAGCAGCCGCCGUAACAC